rnacentral:ncRNA from 1 species
ACGGCAAAGCUGAUGAAAGUCAGUGACGCAAAACUAAAGGGACUAAUGGAUGGUAAAUUGUUCUAUGUCAGCCAGUUGCAG